UAACUGUCAUGCGUAAAGUCUUUCUCUUGCAGUCGGACGGCGCCGGGCUUCGGCCUGGUGGCGAGCUGGCGAACGGGUGAGUAAUGUAUCGGAUCGUGCCCAGUAGCGGGGGAUUCUAUACGAAAGCGUGGCUAAUACCGCAUACGCCCUACGGGGGAAGCGGGGGACCUUCGGGCCUCGCACUAUUGGAGCGGCCGAUAUCGGAUUAGCUAGUUGGUGGGGUAACGGCCUACCAAGGCGACGAUCCGUAGCUGGUUUGAGAGGACGACCAGCCACACUGGGACUGAGACACGGCCCAGACUCCUACGGGAGGCAGCAGUGGGGAAUUUUGGACAAUGGGGGCAACCCUGAUCCAGCCAUCCCGCGUGUGCGAUGAAGGCCUUCGGGUUGUAAAGCACUUUUGGCAGGAAAGAAACGGCACGGGCUAAUAUCCUGUGCAACUGACGGUACCUGCAGAAUAAGCACCGGCUAACUACGUGCCAGCAGCCGCGGUAAUACGUAGGGUGCAAGCGUUAAUCGGAAUUACUGGGCGUAAAGCGUGCGCAGGCGGUUCGGAAAGAAAGAUGUGAAAUCCCAGGCUUACCUUGGAACUGCAUUUUUACUACCGGGCUAGAGUGUGUCAGAGGGAGGUGGAAUUCCGCGUGUAGCAGUGAAAUGCGUAGAUAUGCGGAGGAACACCGAUGGCGAAGGCAGCCUCCUGGGAUAACACUGACGCUCAUGCACGAAAGCGUGGGGGAGCAACAGGAUUAGAUACCCUGGUUAGUCCACGCCCUUAACGAUGUCACUAGCUGUUGGGGACUUCGGGCCUUGGUUAGCGCAGCUAACGCGUGAGUUGACCGCCUGGGGGAGUACGGUCGCAGAUUU
rnacentral:rRNA from 1 species